UAAAAAAACGUAAAAAAAAAUACAAAAAUACAAAGAAAAAAGAAAGA
rnacentral:sRNA from 1 species